UGGAAAGUAUUUAAGCCAGUGCAUUUCUGCCCAAGGCAGAGACCAGCUCUCGCAGAAACCCGGUUCGCAUGAGCCCAGAGCUACUUCACAGGCUGGCCGCUUGUGACCGUCUCUCCGCUACCGCCAUCUCCCGGCGGAACUUCCUCGCAUGCUUGACUUCAUUCCGACCAACAACUCGUUUGUCUCCGUCUACUAGCUAAUCGAUUAGUUCGUUUUACAGUUGUCGCUGUAACCAAGCUUGACCCGCUACACUACUGUUAAUUGGUGGCGUAAGUAAAGGAAAAAUAAAAAAAAAAGGGGUUUUUUGCAACCAUACAAGAAUUAACUGCCUGACUUCUCACUGCUAGCCCCCACCUGCUCGAUCAUGUUGGCCCAGACCGUGACCAGUCGACCUGGUCGCCACAUGGCAUCACGAACAGGAUCCAGGGGAGGCGAGAUACAGUCAGAGUCAGAGCUGAUCCGCUACUGCCCAUGGCAUAGUGGGGAGCGUCCAACGACUGACUCAGAUGAUCUAUAGGCGCAUAUUGUUUACCACCAAGCAGCCAGUUCGGCCGCACCCACAGUGAACAGGUACAUUUCCCUUCGCGGGAGUGACACUAACGGGAAGGAGUUAGCUGGACGGCCCAUUCCUAGCGCCCUCGGCUGCGUAAUGCAGGACUGACCCCAAGGUUGUCUACCGCCCACAGGAGGAGUCUGGAUCCCUAUCCCUUGCCCGCGUUAAACCCACGGGUGCGGCAUGUCCCAGCCCAGCCCAAGAAUUUGCCCGAUGCGCCUGGCACAGAGAGGGAGGUGAAAGCACCCCUCUGGACAAGUUUACCUGUCCGAACCUCUCGCAAGGAUCUAGGGGGCACGAGCUACUAAACCAGAUCCACAAAAACCUAGAGGCUGACAGGCGGACAGCCACCAAGUGGACCGGCCCGAAAUGGGACAAGGGGGAAAAUGCUUAAAUGUUCUGUUUCGUGCAUAUAUGUCGGGCUGUUGAGAGAGAACGCAGAUCUAGAGGUGCAGCUAGAAACUGCUGCCCAAGCUGCCACAGACAAUGUAGCUGGACCACCAUUUCAAGAUGGCGCUGACAAAAGAGGGAGCUCAAGUGAGGCAGGAAACCCCGUAGAAAAAGAAAAAAAGUGCGCCAACAUCACCCACCUGGAGCCCGCCUCCUCCUGCAGCCAUACAGACAGACACGCCUGUCGGGGACAGGCACCCCGGUGUCACGGUGGGCCGAGCACAAACAAACAGCCCCCACCUGCUUGA
rnacentral:lncRNA from 1 species